rnacentral:rRNA from 1 species
GGAACUGUCAGGCUAGAGUGCAGGAGAGGAAGGUAGAAUUCCCGGUGUAGCGGUGAAAUGCGUAGAGAUCGGGAGGAAUACCAGUGGCGAAGGCGGCCUUCUGGACUGACACUGACAGUGAGGUGCGAAAGCGUGGGUAGCAAACAGGAUUAGAUACCCUGGUAGUCCACGCCGUAAACGAUGUCGACCAGCCGUUGGGUGCCUAGAGCACUUUGUGGCGAAGUUAACGCGAUAAGUCGACCGCCUGGGGAGUACGGCCGCAAGGUUAAAACUCAAAUGAAUUGACGGGGGCCCGCACAAGCGGUGGAGCAUGUGGUUUAAUUCGAUGCAACGCGAAGAACCUUACCUACCCUUGACAUCUACAGAAGCCGGAAGAGAUUCUGGUGUGCCUUCGGGAACUGUAAGACAGGUGCUGCAUGGCUGUCGUCAGCUCGUGUUGUGAAAUGUUGGGUUAAGUCCCGUAACGAGCGCAACCCUUGUCCUUAUUUGCCAGCGAGUAAUGUCGGGAACUCUAAGGAGACUGCCGGUGACAAACCGGAGGAAGGUGGGGACGACGUCAAGUCAUCAUGGCCCUUACGGGUAGGGCUACACACGUGCUACAAUGGCCGGUACAAAGGGCUGCGAGCUCGCGAGAGUCAGCGAAUCCCUUAAAGCCGGUUUCAGUCCGGAUCGGAGUCUGCAACUCGACUCCGUGAAGUCGGAAUCGCUAGUAAUCGUGAAUCAGAAUGUCACGGUGAAUACGUUCCCGGGCCUUGUACACACCGCCCGUCACACCAUGGGAGUGGACUGCACCAGAAGUG